rnacentral:rRNA from 1 species
AUGUUUCAGACACAUGAGAACCUGGAACACAUAGCAAUGAUGGAGAGGGUUUUGGGACCCGUACCAGAGCACAUGAUAUGGAACGCUAGAUAUGUGAUACCUGGAGGGCGGAUCUUGUACACCGUUGAAGCUGGCGCCAUGUCCUGGACCUGUCUAGCGUCAGGUCCAGAAGGGGAUCCGCGCCGGCGCAAUGGAUACCGGCGGUUUUGA